rnacentral:snoRNA from 1 species
UCUACUCUAAUGCUUGGCAUUGUACCACCAAAAUGCCUCGCUUGUAGACCAGAUCGAGAACCACGUUCGGCACUCGGAUUAACACGAGAAUUGGUCUUCGAAAUAGUUAUUUUUUUUCUUCUAGUGACA